CACGCGGAGUCGACACACUGACCUGCAGUCACCUCUUCUCUCUUCCUUGCUUUACUGGGAAUCAAAAUAAAGCAACUUUAUGGGGGCCAAAACGGAAAGAAAAUGCAGCUCACUGAAAAGCAAAUAAAGAUGGCGCGAGAGCCUGUGGGUCCAGCCUGCGCAGGAGAAGAAACGCCUCCUGCGGGUUUUGGUCACUCAUCCUUUCCCAGAGUGAGAAGCGGACAUGAAUUCCGUCGACAACUGUUUUUUCCUCACUGACUAUACAAAGAAGAAGGUGAGCCAGGCAAGGUUCGUCCUCUGUCAGGAACCUUGAUCCAGGAAGAGGGAUUAGACAAGGUGGCGCUAGUGGUCAAGAAUCUGCCUACCAAUGCUGGAGACCUAAGAGAUGCAGG